rnacentral:rRNA from 1 species
AUUAAACGCUGGCGGCAUGCCUUACACAUGCAAGUCGAACGGCAGCACGGGGGCAACCCUGGUGGCGAGUGGCGAACGGGUGAGUAAAGCAUCGGAACGUGCCCUGGAGUGGGGGAUAACGUAGCGAAAGUUACGCUAAUACCGCAUAUUCUGUGAGCAGGAAAGCAGGGGAUCGCAAGACCUUGCGCUUUGGGAGCGGCCGAUGUCGGAUUAGCUAGUUGGUGGGGUAAAGGCCUACCAAGGCGACGAUCCGUAGCGGGUCUGAGAGGAUGAUCCGCCACACUGGGACUGAGACACGGCCCAGACUCCUACGGGAGGCAGCAGUGGGGAAUUUUGGACAAUGGGCGCAAGCCUGAUCCAGCCAUGCCGCGUGAGUGAAGAAGGUCUUCGGGUUGUAAAGCUCUUUCGGUGGGGAAGAAAUUGCACGGGUUAAUAGCCUGUGUAGAUGACGGUACCUAGAGAAGAAGCACCGGCUAACUACGUGCCAGCAGCCGCGGUAAU